rnacentral:rRNA from 1 species
UACGUAGGGGGCGAGCGUUGUCCGGAAUCAUUGGGCGUAAAGCGCGUGUAGGCGGUUCAGUAAGUCUGCUGUGAAAGUCCAGGGCUCAACCCUGGGAUGCCGGUGGAUACUGCUGAACUAGGGUGCGGAAGAGGCGAGUGGAAUUCCCGGUGUAGCGGUGAAAUGCGCAGAUAUCGGGAGGAACACCAAUUGCGAAGGCAGCUCGCUGGGACGUUACUGACGCUGAGACGCGAAAGCGUGGGGAGCAAACAGG